rnacentral:rRNA from 1 species
CGCCCCCCCCCCCAGCACACACCCCCCCCCCCCGCCCCAGAGUUUGAUCCUGGCUCAGGACGAACGCUGGCGGCGUGCCUAAUACAUGCAAGUCGAGCGAAUGAUGAAGAAGCUUGCUUCUUCUGAUUUAGCGGCGGACGGGUGAGUAACACGUGGGCAACCUGCCCUGUAGAUUGGGAUAACUCCGGGAAACCGGGGCUAAUACCGAAUAAUCCAUUUCCUCACAUGUGGGAAUGUUAAAAGACGGCAUCUCGCUGUCACUACAGGAUGGGCCCGCGGCGCAUUAGCUAGUUGGUGAGGUAACGGCUCACCAAGGCGACAAUGCGUAGCCAACCUGAGAGGGUGAUCGGCCACACUGGGACUGAAACACGGCCCAAACUCCUACGGGAGGCAGCAGUAGGGAAUCUUCCACAAUGGACGAAAGUCUGAUGGAGCAACGCCGCGUGAGUGAAGAAGGUUUUCGGAUCGUAAAACUCUGUUGUGAGGGAAGAACAAGUACAAGAGUAACUGCUCGUACCUUGACGGUACCUCAUUAGAAAGCCACGGCUAACUACGUGCCAGCAGCCGCGGUAAUACGUAGGUGGCAAGCGUUGUCCGGAAUUAUUGGGCGUAAAGCGCGCGCAGGCGGUCCUUUAAGUCUGAUGUGAAAGCCCACGGCUCAACCGUGGAAGGUCAUUGGAAACUGGGGGACUUGAGUGCAGAAGAGGAAAGUGGAAUUCCAAGUGUAGCGGUGAAAUGCGUAGAGAUUUGGAGGAACACCAGUGGCGAAGGCGACUUUCUGGUCUGUAACUGACGCUG